CGCAUCUGUGCAUGCAGCAUAUCAAUAAGCGGAGGAAAAGAAACUGAACAAGGAUUCCCCUAGUAACGGCGAGUGAAGCGGGAAGAGCUCAAAUUUGAAAUCUUAAAGGGUUUCCCUUUACGAAUUGUAGUUUAAAGAAGUGUUUUCUGUUGAGGUUUUGGUAAAAGUUCUUUGGGAAUAGGACAUCAUAGAGGGUGAGAAUCCCGUAUUUGACCUUUACUUUCAACUUUGUGAUACACCUUUCAAAGAGUCGGAUUGUUUGGGAAUGCAGUCCAAAAUGGGUGGUAAAUUUCAUCUAAAGCUAAAUAUUGGCGAGAGACCGAUAGCGAACAAGUACCGUGAGGGAAAGAUGAAAAGAACUUUGAAAAGAGAGUUAAACAGUACGUGAAAUUGUCAAAAGGGAAGCGUUUGACACCAGUGUUGUUUUUCUGAAAAUCAAUUAAAGAACUGUUUAUGCUAAGCUGUUUAGACUUUAUCAGCUAACUGUUUAGUUUUGAGCUUUUCUUUAAUGCACUUUUCAGUUAACAAGUCAACAUCAAUUUCUUUUGCUGUAAAAAAGCUUGAGGAAGGUGGCUUGAGAUUCGUCCUUAAGUGUUUAUAGCCUCUUGCCUAUGCAGUCGGAGAGAUUGAGGUCUGCAGCGUAGAUCCUUCGGGGCUAAAUGCAUUUGUGCUAAGUUAUAGCAUUUUAUAGACAACUUGUUGACUAUGAUUUGUCUUGUAGCUUACUCGCUUAUGUUAUUUUACCUACGCUUAGGAUGUUGAGUCAUCACACAUCUCU
rnacentral:rRNA from 1 species